rnacentral:rRNA from 1 species
UACGGGGGGAGCAAGCGUUGUUCGGAUUUACUGGGCGUAAAGGGUGCGCAGGCGGCCAAGUGUGUGAGGCGUGAAAGCCCGAAGCUUAACUUCGGAAUUGCACCUCAAACUACAUGGCUAGAGCAUUGGAGAGGGUAGCGGAAUUCACGGUGUAGCAGUGAAAUGCGUAGAUAUCGUGAGGAACACCAGAGGCGAAGGCGGCUACCUGGACAAUUGCUGACGCUCAGGCACGAAAGCGUGGGGAGCAAAAGGG